rnacentral:rRNA from 1 species
GAUGAACGCUGGCGGCGUGCCUAACACAUGCAAGUCGAGCGAAUGGAUUAAGAGCUUGCUCUUAUGAAGUUAGCGGCGGACGGGUGAGUAACACGUGGGUAACCUGCCCAUAAGACUGGGAUAACUCCGGGAAACCGGGGCUAAUACCGGAUAACAUUUUGAACCGCAUGGUUCGAAAUUGAAAGGCGGCUUCGGCUGUCACUUAUUGAUGGACCCGCGUCGCAUUAGCUAGUUGGCGAGGUAACGGCUCACCAAGGCAACGAUGCGUAGCCGACCUGAGAGGGUGAUCGGCCACACUGGGACUGAGACACGGCCCAGACUCCUACGGGAGGCAGCAGUAGGGAAUCUUCCGCAAUGGACGAAAGUCUGACGGAGCAACGCCGCGUGAGUGAUGAAGGCUUUCGGGUCGUAAAACUCUGUUGUUAGGGAAGAACAAGUGCUAGUUGAAUAAGCUGGCACCUUGACGGUACCUAACCAGAAAGCCACGGCUAACUACGUGCCAGCCGCCGCAGUAA